rnacentral:rRNA from 1 species
GCUUACGGCCACACCUCCCUGAGCCACGCCGAUCUCGUCUGAUCUUGGAAGCUAAGCAGGGUCGGGCCCGGUUAGUACUUGGAUGGGAGACCCGCUGGGAAUACCAGGUGCUGUAAGCC